rnacentral:lncRNA from 1 species
UAAUAUGUUAGCAUAUAUGUUAUGAUUUAAAAUUUAUAUGGUCUAUAAUUCAUGAUUAUUGAUUUAGAAAAUUAAAAUUUUAAAAUAAAUUUAUUUUGGUUUCGUGGAAUAGCAUGGAUAAUUUUUAUUAUUCCUAAUUUUUUUUCAAAACCAAAUAGAAUUUAAAAUUUUAAUUUCUACAAUGAUAACUCCUAAAAAAAUAAAUAAAUUAUUACAUAAAAUUAUAAUUUUAAAAACUAAAAAUUUAAAAUUACAAUUAU